AGCAGCCGCGGUAAUUCCAGCUCCAAUAGCGUAUAUUAAAGUUGUUGCAGUUAAAAAGCUCGUAGUUGAAUUUCGGGGUUAGCAAGUUGGUCGUGCCUUUGGUAUGCACUGGCUUUGCUGAUUCCUCCUUCUUGAAGAACUGUGAUGCUAUUAAUUUGGUGUUGCAGGGAAACAGGACUGUUACUUUGAAAAAUUAGAGUGUUUAAAGCAGGCUAACGCUUGAAUACAUUAGCAUGGAAUAAUGAAAUAGGACGUUUGAUCCUAUUUUGUUGGUUUCUAGGAUUGACGUAAUGAUUAAUAGGGAUAGUUGGGGGCAUUAGUAUUCAAUUGUCAGAGGUGAAAUUCUUGGAUUUAUUGAAGACUAACUACUGCGAAAGCAUUUGCCAAGGAUGUUUUCAUUAAUCAAGAACGAAAGUUAGGGGAUCGAAGACGAUCAGAUACCGUCGUAGUCUUAACCAUAAACUAUGC
rnacentral:rRNA from 1 species